rnacentral:rRNA from 1 species
UUUGUGGGGUGCUCGAGUGGCGAACGGGUGAGUAACACGUGAGUAACCUGCCCUUGACUUUGGGAUAACUUCAGGAAACUGGGGCUAAUACCGGAUAGGAGCUCCUGCUGCAUGGUGGGGGUUGGAAAGUUUCGGCGGUUGGGAUGGACUCGCGGCCUAUCAGCUUGUUGGUGGGGUAAUGGCCUACCAAGGCGGCGACGGGUAGCCGGCCUGAGAGGGUGUACGGCCACAUUGGGACUGAGAUACGGCCCAG